rnacentral:rRNA from 1 species
CUUGCCCUUUAGACUGGGAUAACAGAGGGAAACUUCUGAUAAUACUGGAUAAGUUAGUAUAUCGCAUGAUAUGCAAAUGAAAGCUACGGCACUAAAGGAGAGCUUUGCGUCCUAUUAGCUAGUUGGUAAGGUAAGAGCUUACCAAGGCGAUGAUAGGUAGCCGGCCUGAGAGGGUGGACGGCCACAAGGGGACUGAGAUACGGCCCUUACUCCUACGGGAGGCAGCAGG